rnacentral:rRNA from 1 species
AUACAGAGGGUGCAAGCGUUAAUCGGAAUUACUGGGCGUAAAGCGCGCGUAGGUGGUUUGUUAAGUUGGAUGUGAAAGCCCCGGGCUCAACCUGGGAACUGCAUCCAAAACUGGCAAGCUAGAGUACGGUAGAGGGUGGUGGAAUUUCCUGUGUAGCGGUGAAAUGCGUAGAUAUAGGAAGGAACACCAGUGGCGAAGGCGACCACCUGGACUGAUACUGACACUGAGGUGCGAAAGCGUGGGGAGCAAACAGGAUUAGAUACCCCAGUAGUCC